rnacentral:snoRNA from 1 species
CGGAUCGAUGAUGACUACUUGUGGCGUAUGAGUGUGAUACGAUGAAUACGUGUCUGGAACUCUGAGAUCCAU